UACGUAGGGUGCGAGCGUUAAUCGGAAUUACUGGGCGUAAAGCGUGCGCAGGCGGUGCUGUAAGACCGAUGUGAAAUCCCCGGGCUUAACCUGGGAACUGCAUUGGUGACUGCAGCGCUGGAGUAUGGCAGAGGGGGGUGGAAUUCCACGUGUAGCAGCGAAAUGCGUAGAGAUGUGGAGGAACACCGAUGGCGAAGGCAGCCCCCUGGGCCAAUACUGACGCUCAUGCACGAAAGCGUGGGGAGCAAACAGG
rnacentral:rRNA from 1 species